AUUGAACGCUGGCGGCAUGCCUUACACAUGCAAGUCGAACGGUAACAGGUCUUCGGAUGCUGACGAGUGGCGAACGGGUGAGUAAUACAUCGGAACGUGCCUAGUAGUGGGGGAUAACUACUCGAAAGAGUGGCUAAUACCGCAUGAGAUCUACGGAUGAGAGCAGGGGAUCGCGAGACCUUGUGCUACUGGAGCGGCCGAUGGCAGAUUAGGUAGUUGGUGGGAUAAAAGCUUACCAAGCCGACGAUCUGUAGCUGGUCUGAGAGGACGGUCAGCCACACUGGGACUGAGACACGGCCCAGACUCCUACGGGAGGCAGCAGUGGGGAAUUUUGGACAAUGGGCGCAAGCCUGAUCCAGCAAUGCCGCGUGCAGGAUGAAGGCCUUCGGGUUGUAAACUGCUUUUGUACGGAACGAAAAGCCCUGGGUUAAUACCCUGGGGUCAUGACGGUACCGUAAGAAUAAGCACCGGCUAACUACGUGCCAGCCGCCGCCGUAA
rnacentral:rRNA from 1 species